AGUGAACGCUGGCGGUAGGCCUAACACAUGCGAGUCGAACGGCAGCACAGUAAGAGCUUGCUCUUACGGGUGGCGAGUGGCGGACGGGUGAGGAAUACAUCGGAAUCUACUUUUUCGUGGGGGAUAACGUAGGGAAACUUACGCUAAUACCGCAUACGACCUACGGGUGAAAGCAGGGGAUCUUCGGACCUUGCGCGAUUGAAUGAGCCGAUGUCGGAUUAGCUAGUUGGCGGGGUAAAGGCCCACCAAGGCGACGAUCCGUAGCUGGUCUGAGAGGAUGAUCAGCCACACUGGAACUGAGACACGGUCCAGACUCCUACGGGAGGCAGCAGUGGGGAAUAUUGGACAAUGGGCGCAAGCCUGAUCCAGCCAUACCGCGUGGGUGAAGAAGGCCUUCGGGUUGUAAAGCCCUCUUGUUGGGAAAGAAAAGCAGCAGGUUAAUACCCCGCUGUUCUGACGGUACCCAAAGAAUAAGCACCGGCUAACUUCGUG
rnacentral:rRNA from 1 species